rnacentral:rRNA from 1 species
GACGAACGUUGGCGGCGUGCCUAAUACAUGCAAGUAGAACGCUGAAGGAGGAGCUUGCUCUUCUGGAUGAGUUGCGAACGGGUGAGUAACGCGUAGGUAACCUGCCUGGUAGCGGGGGAUAACUAUUGGAAACGAUAGCUAAUACCGCAUAACAGUAGAUGUUGCAUGACAUUUGCUUAAAAGGUGCAAUUGCAUCACUACCAGAUGGACCUGCGUUGUAUUAGCAAGUUGGUGGGGUAACGGCUCACCAAGGCGACGAUACAUAGCCGACCUGAGAGGGUGAUCGGCCACACUGGGACUGAGACACGGCCCAGACUCCUACGGGAGGCAGCAGUAGGGAAUCUUCGGCAAUGGACGGAAGUCUGACCGAGCAACGCCGCGUGAGUGAAGAAGGUUUUCGGAUCGUAAAGCUCUGUUGUAAGAGAAGAACGAGUGUGAGAGUGGAAAGUUCACACUGUGACGGUAUCUUACCAGAAAGGGACGGCUAACUACGUG